UUCUGAGCUUGACCGGCAACACACAAUGAAGAACUCGUUGAAGGAGAUAACAUUGAGGUUCAUCUUGACCACAAGCACAUGGGUUUGGGUGGAGAUGAUAGCUGGUCCCCAUGUGUACACGAGCAAUACUUUGUUCCUGCCAUACCAUACUCCUUUUCUGUUAGGUUGUGUCCGGUAACUUCUGCCACCUCCGAUCACGAGAUUUACAAAUCCCAGCAAAACUUUUGAGGUAUUCUGAUGAGGGAGUAGUUUCUUACUGGGGAUCAUAGCUGGAGAACUCUCAAAACAAGAACAUAAUCUCAUUCUUAUGCAUCCAUUCAAGCUGGUGCCUCAAUGCCAUAUGGAAAAAGACCGAUCUUAAUGGCUUCCUUUACUGUCAUGUUAUGGCUUGUGAAUAUUGUACACCUUGGUUAAUAAUAAGUGUGCUCUAGUUGUGAUAUAGGUCAUGUUUCGUUUUUUGCAUUCCUGUACUCGUGAUAAUAAUGAUCCUGGCAGACUCAAGUGGGUCUUCUUGAAUGUGGUUCCAUUCCAAACUUCUUGAAUGUGGUUCCAUUCCACCCCAAAAUGGUCCUCUCAAACAAUAUUCAAGAAUAAAUUGUUUAGCAUAACAAUUGGAAAUGGACGUUACUACUCU